UUGUUAGCUCAGUUGGGAGAGCGUCAGACUGAAGAUCUGAAGGUCCCCAGUUCGAUCCUG
rnacentral:tRNA from 13 species